rnacentral:rRNA from 1 species
GACGAACGCUGGCGGCGUGCUUAACACAUGCAAGUCGAACGGAGAAUUUUAUUUCGGUGAAAUUCUUAGUGGCGAACGGGUGAGUAACGCGUAGACAACCUACCUCUCAGAUGGGGACAACAUCGCGAAAGCGGUGCUAAUACCGAAUGAUGUAACUUUUCUGCAUGGAAGAGUUACCAAAGGCGGCCUCUAUUUAUAAGCUGUCACUGAGAGAUGGGUCUGCGUCUGAUUAGCUAGUUGGCGGGGUAAUGGCCCACCAAGGCGACGAUCAGUAGCCGGUCUGAGAGGAUGAACGGCCACAUUGGGACUGCGACACGGCCCAAACUCCUACGGGAGGCAGCAGUGGGGAAUCUUCCGCAAUGGACGAAGGUCUGACGGAGCAACGCCGCGUGAGUGAAGAAGGUUUUCGGAUCGUAAAGCUCUGUUGUUUGAGACGAACGUGCAAUUUUUGAAUAAGGAAUUGUAAUGACGGUAUUAAACGAGAAAGCCACGGCUAACUACGUGCCAGCCGCCGCCGUAA